GACGAACGCUGGCGGCGUGCUUAACACAUGCAAGUCGAACGGAAAGGCCCUGCUUUUGUGGGGUGCUCGAGUGGCGAACGGGUGAGUAACACGUGAGUAACCUGCCCUUGACUUUGGGAUAACUUCAGGAAACUGGGGCUAAUACCGGAUAGGAGCUCCUGCUGCAUGGUGGGGGUUGGAAAGUUUCGGCGGUUGGGGAUGGACUCGCGGCUUAUCAGCUUGUUGGUGGGGUAGUGGCUUACCAAGGCUUUGACGGGUAGCCGGCCUGAGAGGGUGACCGGCCACAUUGGGACUGAGAGACGGCCCAGACUCCUACGGGAGGCAGCAGUGGGGAAUAUUGCACAAUGGGGGGAAGCCUGAUGCAGAAACGCCGCGUGCGGGAUGACGGCCUUCGGGUUGUAAACCGCUUUCGCAGGUGACGAAGCGUGAGUGACGGUAAUGGGUAAAGAAGCACCGGCUAACUACGUG
rnacentral:rRNA from 1 species